UUCAAUCUUGCUCGAUAAAAUCUAUGCUUGGAUGUAGACUGCUAAGUCCAUGUUCUGUCUAAUAGGCACAAGCAUAGAUUUUAUGAAAAUAAACCCUAUAGAUCAGUUUGUAGUUGGUUGAGACUCAAUGCUGCAAUUCAGAUUUUAAACUGCAAGUCGCCUACAACGAGAGUUCUUUUUAUCUUUUUUUUACGGUACUACUUUAUUGUUUAAUCUCAAACAAAAGGAUACAUAAACAAAUCAAAAUAGGUGAUAGAAUAAUAUUAGUGAAAAAAUUUUCAUAUUAAUAUUAUGAUACCAAUGUCCUAAAAAUUAUAUCCUUAAUAAAAGUAAAAUUAUUAAUUUUUAUCUUAAAAACUUUAUAAUCAGUAGAAUAAAAUAUAAAUAUUGAUGAAUUUUUUAGUCUUAUAUUAUAUGUAAUUGUCUAUUCGGAGGGAUGAUUUUUGAAACUUAUAUCUCAAAAUGUUGAUAUUACAUUUUGGUUGAACCUUUGCAUUAAGCUUUAUGAUUGGUGCUUUGAUUCAUAUUAAGCUUAGCUAUCAAUUUACAAACAUUCUGUAGUAAAUAAAGUCUGGUUGAUCAUGCUUGGUGAAAAUUGCUAUUGGUCGCCCUUUUCUCCAAUUAUUUGGAGAAAGAAAAACUCUUGCCGACUUUGAAAACACCAAAGAAGACCAACUGGUUCAUGAGAAAUAGAUAAUUGAAGCCCAUACGAACUUUAAAGUACAGAUGCAGAAUGAAUUUGGACCGAACUCCAUGGGCCUAUUUAUUAAUAAAAUUGCCCAAUCUAUAGAAAGAAGAAGAAGAAGAUAGAUAGAUAGAGGCAGACGAGGGAAGUGAAAGCAAAAACUGUUCAAUUAACUUGAAAUCGUUGAGGCGGAAGAAGAUGAUUCACCGAAAAUGGAGCCUGUUAACUGGCCCGGCAGCAAUCUUGGGCGGGAUCGUGGCUACGGUGGUUGUCGCCAACUUUAUUUUCGUUAAGAACGAUCCAUUUCUUAAACCACGGCAAGGGAAGCCAGAUGCACCACCAUCUGCCAAAUAGAACGGAAGUUGAGCAAAUCGUGUUACGAAUUUGAUGUAAGCUUCUCUGGUGGUUUGUGUUUGUUGAGUAUGUUUUGGUGAAACAUAUGUUAAAGCUGCAACUUAGGACAAGUUCUUAAUUGAAUAAUAUGGAGAUCCUUGAUCAAGUUUUAAGUA